rnacentral:lncRNA from 1 species
CAUCGUGGGGUUAUAUCCUCAUCUCCACUCUUUGGUCCAAAUCCUUGCACGUACGGUGUUCCGUUCGUUGUAGUUUCUAAAUUUCCUACUAUUGUAUCCUUUCUCCAGGGAUUGAUCAAGAAACUUUUCUAGGAAAAAUUAAUUGAUACGACGUGUAAGAAAUUCAACGUGACAGAAAAUUCAAGAAACAAAUGCGAGAGGCUUCUUCGAGUGUUUUGGCUCUCAAUGAAAGCACCAAUUUGUGGAUGCAAAUUUUCGCCAUCUUCAGUCUUGACAACAAUUCACCUGCAAAACAAUUAACACAUUUGAUCAGAGACCUAAGUCUCAUCCACCCACGAGGUGGGGGGUUAGGUCAAUGGAUCUCUGAUGCCUAAAUUAGUUUCUCUGAGAUAGUAAAGUGUUUUGAGGCUUUUUAGGGUUGUCAAAAGCUCUCUGAAAAUGGUAGAGUAUGGGGUAUUUAUAGGGCUUGGACCGGCCAUAUAGGGUCUAAUAGAGAAAAUAUUCUCUAAAUAUUCCUAAGAUAUUUAAAAUGAGAUAAUAUCUUGAGAUAAUAGGGUAAUAAUCCUUAAUUGAUUUAAAUUAGGAUUACUUACUUGAUUGGUGUCAAUUUUCAAUUAGGAAUGUAUUAAAGAUAGGAUUUGGGUAAUUAAUCCUUAUCUUUAAUUCCUUGCCAUACACAGGUGAGCUGUGGGCAGUGGUGUUCAGCUGCUAAGUCCUUUAGGGAUGUGAGCUGCGCGUGGGAGAAUUUAAGAAGCCUGCCCAUUUAUUAAGGGCAAUCUUGUCCUUCUUGAAUAAAAGUUGACGUGUCGCCACUGGAAUUUUUGGGAUU